ensembl:rRNA 5S_rRNA 5S ribosomal RNA
ACCUGUAAAAUGGGCACACUAAGAGUACCUGCUUCCUGCUCUUGUCUGAUCUUUGAAGCUAAGCAGGGUCGGGCCUGGUUAGUACUUGGAAGGGAGACCACCUAGAAUACCAGGUGCUAUAGGUG